rnacentral:rRNA from 1 species
UCAAGCGAACAAGGGCGCAGGGCGAAUGCCUUGGCACUGGGAGCCGAUGAAAGACGUGAUAAGCUGCGAUAAGCUUCGGGGAGCUGCAAAUAAGCAUUGAUCCGGAGAUUUCUGAAUGAGGAAACUCACCUGGGUUCAUACUCAGGUACGUUAUACUGAACUUCAAAAUAGGUAUAUCGAGGGAACCGCCUGAACUGAAACAUCUAAGUAGGGCGAGGAAGAGACAUCAAACGAGAUUCCGUAAGUAGUGGCGAGCGAACGCGGAAGAGGGCAAACCGAGAGUAGAAAUACUUUCGGGGUACGGAGCGCAUUUAGGACUUAAGUUGUUAACCGAACGGCAUGGGAAGGCCGGUCAGAGAGUGUGAGAACCACGUAGGUGAAAACGACAAGAGCCGAGCGAAUUCCAGAGUACGGCCAGACACGUGAAACCUGGUCGGAAUACGGGGGGACCACCCUCCAACCCUAAAUACUACCCAGUGACCGAUAGCGUAUAGUACUGUGAAGGAAAGGUGAAAAGCACCCCGGGAGGGGAGUGAAAAAGAACCUGAAACCCUGUGCCUACAAGCACCUAGAGCGCGUCAAUGCGUGAUAGGGUACUUUUUGUAGAACGGUCCGGCGAGCGAUUGUAUGCAGCAAGGUUAAGGACUUAAGGUCUGGAGCCGAAGCGAAAGCGAGUUUGAAAAGGGCGUUAAGUUGCAUAUAAUGGGCCCGAAACCGGGUGACCUACCCAUGGUCAGGUUGAAGUGGAAGUAAAAUUCCAUGGAGGACCGAACCGACCUCCGUUGAAAAGGCGGCGGAUGAACUGUGGGUAGCGGAGAAAUUCCAAUCGAACCCGGAGAUAGCUGGUUCUCCCCGAAAUAGUUUUAGGACUAGCCUCAAGUUAGAUACCUGGAGGUAAAGCACUGAAUAGCCUAGCGGCCGAGAGGUUAGCGAAGCUUAUCAAACUCAGAAUGCCAGAGUAUUGAUGCUUGGGAGUCAGACAGUGUCAGAUAAAUGUCAUUGUCAAAAGGGAAACAGCCCAGAUCUACAGCUAAGGUCCCAAAGUCAGGUUAAGUGGAAAACGAUGUGAAGAUACGUAGACAACCAGGAUGUUGGCUCAGAAGCAGCCACUCAUUCAAAGAGUGCGUAAUAGCUCACUGGUCGAGCGUCUUUGCGCGGAGAAUUUAACGGGGCUAAACCUGACACCGAAGCUUAGGCAGCAUGUUUACAUGCUGGGUAGGGGAGCGUUGUAUACGCGGUGAAACAGUAGCGCAAGCGGCUGUGGAGUGUAUAGAAGUGAGAAUGCCGGAAUGAGUAGCGCGAAUGCAGUGAGAAUCUGCAUGGCCGAAAGCCUCAGGUUUCUGGAGGAAGGUUCGUCCGCUCCAGGUUAGUCGGGAGCUAAGGUGAGGCCUAACGGCGUAGCCGAUGCACAGACGGUAGAGAUUCCGUCACCACCAAAAGAGUUAAACACAGGGACACAUAUGAAGUCUCGGAGCCGGGUGUUGGUUCCGGUAGCGAUCGAGGGAAGUUAGUACCGAAGUCUGGGAUGGAAGAUGGCGAGAAAAGCUGUGUGUAUUUCUGCGGUGCCCGUACCGCAAACCGACACAGGUAGGUAGGAAGAAGAUUCUAAGGCCAACGGGAGAAGGGUUGUUAAGGAACUCGGCAAAUUGACCCCGUAACUUCGGGAGAAGGGGUGCUGCAGCAAUGCAGCCGCAGAGAAUCGGCCCAAGCAACUGUUUACCAAAAACACAGGUUUGUGCUAAAUCGAAAGAUGACGUAUACGAGCUGACGCCUGCCCGGUGCUGGAAGGUUAAGAGGAGAUGUGCAAGCAUUGAAUCGAAGCCCCAGUGAACGGCGGCCGUAACUAUAACGGUCCUAAGGUAGCGAAAUUCCUUGUCAGGUAAG